GCCCACCUGCUGAACCCUAGUCCCCUCUCCAUCCCAUCAGCGCCGCCACUCCUCUCUCCUUCUGUGCUUCCGUGCUCGACCACGGCCGUCGAUCCGUCGUCUACUUCCGGUAGAGGCCGUCGUCUUCCAGUUCAUCGUCGUCCACGACCUCGCGUCGUUACAUCACACGCCGGAGCUGCUCUUCAUCAAUCCCGCGUGCGACGCCAAGCUCUGCGACCGUCGGCAUCGGCUCGACCAAAUCCUCCCGACGUGCUCAGCCGCGCGCGCGUGCUGCAUGACGUCCGUCCCGCGCCGCUGAUCCGCGUCCGUCGCUCGUCUCCACCUCCGUUCACGCAUGUCUGCUCGUGCCCGCCGCUGUCUCGGCUCCCCUGGCCCUCGUCGGCGGCUAAACUCCGGCGCCUACCUGAACCAAGUCCAGUCUAUCUGCCUCCCCGACGGACGUCUCCGUCCUCGUCCCCAGCAACAAGAACUCCGGCCGGCCGCCCGUCAAGUCCUCCAUGGGCUGCUCGUCAGCUGUGAUCCUCGGCCACCUCCUCCUUCUUCAUCUCCGGCAACUCCUUCGCCGCUCCUUUCUCGUCAUCAACCACCCCAGGCAUUUGCUUCUUCCCGGAUAGGAUCGCGAAGUGGUGUGGUGAGAUACGCCAAGUUCUCCGGAUGUUCCUCGGCAAGCUUUAACAGGCAAGCAUUUCCCUUAUACUCCUGCCCCUGCAGAAGUCGCUCACCUAUUUUAUUUUGCCUUCUCCCUCAUGCUAUCCUUAAGUUGCGUUCUUGUCACGUGUCCCUUCCACUUGUUACCUCAAGCAGCCCAUAUUGCCUCCACCAACCACCUAUGGCUAUUGUUUGGUAUCGGGUCUGCCUUGCGAGUUGUAGUGCAUGCUAGUGCUGUUAUAUCUCGUUACCGUUAUCGCUAUCUUAUCGGUUAUCUGUUGGGAAUCAUGACACAUGCUACGUGGUUAUAUCUGUUGAGGGAAUCAUGGUUACUUGUUAAUAAUUGUUAAGCGGAGGCAUCGGUGGGUCAGCUGAUCGUUUUGUGACGGCUCACUUGUGUUUCCUAAAUAUCUUAGGACCCCGAGUUCUUGUUAUCUGUUCCGAGACUGAGCGCUCUAACCACACGUGGGUAUGUUUCUGGGUCUCCCCUCGACCACUGCCGGAAUCUACAGCUUUGUCCAGUGGCCACAACUAGUUUCGUAAUGUUUUACCAUUUGUUGUUUGCGUGCAUGCCAGCCUGUUACUUAUUUACUUUGGGAAGCCCCUGGGUGCCUUGUAUCCCUUGUUUCUGGUAUGCACGUAUAGGUCGCGGAGCCGCUGCGAAGUGGUUUAUCGCCCCAGUGUGUGUUUAAACCACCUAGUACGCUGU